CUUUGUGAACUUAUACCUUACUGUUGCCUCGGCGCAUGCCGGCCCCCCUGGGGGCCCCUCUCCGGAGGACCAGGCACGCCGGCGGCCAACCUAACUCUUGUUUUUACACUGAAACUCUGAGAAUAAAACAUAAAUGAAUCAAAACUUUCAACGACGGAUCUCUUGUUUCUGGCAUCGAUGAAGAACGCAGCGAAAUGCGAUAAGUAAUGUGAAUUGCAGAAUUCAGUGAAUCAUCGAAUCUUUGAACGCACAUUGCGCCCUCUGGUAUUCCGGAGGGCAUGCCUGUUCGAGCGUCAUUUCAACCCUCAAGCCUGGCUUGGUGAUGGGGGCACUGCCUGUAAAAGGGCAGGCCCUGAAAUUCAGUGGCGAGCUCGCCAGGACCCCGAGCGCAGUAGUUAAACCCUCGCUCUGGAAGGCCCUGGCGGUCCCCUGCCGUUAAACCCCCAACUUUUGAAAAUUUGACCUCGGAUCAGGUAGGAAUACCCGCUGAACUUAAGCAUAUCAU
rnacentral:rRNA from 1 species